GGCUGAUCCUCAGAAAAACAUCAGAAACUCAUCUAGAACAGAAAGCAGCAUCACAGGAAACUCCUACAUAUUUGAGAGCUUCAGCACAGAAAAAAGGUACAGCGUCAAAAUCAGAGCAACUGACAAUGGUUGUUUAGUGAGCACCAGCUGGGGAGAGUGGAGUACACCUGUAGAGUUUGGAACAAGCCAACUUACAUCUACUUCAUCAUAUAUGUUAUAUCUGAUAUCAGUGAUGGCAGCAGGCCUUGUACUUUUUUUCUGCACAGUAAGAACUUAUUUGAAAAAAGCAUCUGCUACAAUACCACAGCCAAGAGACCCAUUCCAUGAGCUCUGCCCAAUGGAUUUCAAGAUAGAAUAUAAGAAUCAAUCAAUAAUGCAUGAAACCGAAGAAACAAUAGCAUUUAUUGAAGAAGUGACAUAAUGGCAUGCAAGAGAAAGAAGCAAUCUGAAUUUUUUCAAACAUGUAUACAUUCUUGAUAAAACACAACACUGAAUCAGCUACUUGAAGUAAAGUAACUCUACCCCACCUGCAACAAGGACAGCACCAAUUUACAGGUUUUUAAUAUUUUUUUCCUUCUUGCAAACAGAGAGAAUAAUGUUUCUCGUAGAGGCAAUUCCCCAAGAACCUAUCUUUAAAAGCCUCUCUCCAGUUCAUUGUUUUUUCCAUGAAUAACUUUGGUUGUUUGGACUAUUUUUGGUUUUUUCUUAUGUUCAGGUUUCUGAUGGGGUAAAGUUAAUUUUCUCCCUAGCAGCUGGUGCAGUGCUGUGUUUUGGAUUUAGUCUGACAACAAUGAUGAUAAUACACUGAU
rnacentral:lncRNA from 14 species